rnacentral:rRNA from 1 species
GACGAACGCUGGCGGCGUGCCUAAUACAUGCAAGUUGAGCGCUGAAGGUUGGUACUUGUACCAACUGGAUGAGCAGCGAACGGGCGAGUAACGCGUGGGGAAUCUGCCUUUGAGCGGGGGACAACAUUUGGAAACGAAUGCUAAUACCGCAUAAAAACUUUAAACACAAGUUUUAAGUUUGAAAGAUGCAAUUGCAUCACUCAAAGAUGAUCCCGCGUUGUAUUAGCUAGUUGGUGAGGUAAAGGCUCACCAAGGCGAUGAUACAUAGCCGACCUGAGAGGGUGAUCGGCCACAUUGGGACUGAGACACGGCCCAAACUCCUACGGGAGGCAGCAGUAGGGAAUCUUCGGCAAUGGACGAAAGUCUGACCGAGCAACGCCGCGUGAGUGAAGAAGGUUGUCGGAUCGUAAAACUCUGUUGGUAGAGAAGAACGUUGGUGAGAGUGGAAAGCUCAUCAAGUGACGGUAACUACCCAGAAAGGGACGGCUAACUACGUG